rnacentral:rRNA from 1 species
UGCCCCCUGAUUAAUGAAUUGAAGGGCUGCAGUAAUUUGACUGUACAAAGGUAGCAUAAUCAUUAGUCAUUUAAUUGAUGACUUGUAUGAAAGAUUGGAUGAAAUAUAGACUGUCUUAAUUUUAAAUUAUAGAAUUUAAUUUUUUAGUCAAAAAGCUAAAAUAAUAUAAAAAGACGAGAAGACCCUAUAGAGUUUUAUUUUAAAUAUUUAAUUAAAAAAUUUUUUGUUAAUUAAAAUUUUAAUUUUUUAUAAAAUUUUGUUGGGGUGAUAGAAAAAUUAAAUUAACUUUUUUUUUUAUUUUACAUAAAUAAGUGUAUAAUUGAUCCAGUUAUAUUGAUUAUAAGAAAAAAUUACCUUAGGGAUAACAGCGUAAUUUUUUUUUUUAGUUCAUAUAAAAAUUAAAGUUUGCGACCUCGAUGUUGGAUUAAGAUAAAAUUUAAAUGUAGAAGUUUAAAAUUUUGA